rnacentral:rRNA from 1 species
AGGAGACGCUGGCGGCGUGGAUUAGGCAUGCAAGUCGAACGGUAUCAUCCUUUCGGGGGUGAGAGAGUGGCGAACUGGUGAGUAACACGUAGGUUAUCUACCUCAAGACGGGGACAACCCAGGGAAACUUGGGCUAAUACCGGAUGUGAGCAACUUUUAGUUGUUUGAAAGGUGGCGUAAGCUGUCGCUUGGGGAUGAGCCUGCGUCCUAUUAGUUAGUUGGUGAGGUAACGGCUCACCUAGGCAAUGAUAGGUAGGCGGCCUUAACGGGUGGUCGCCCACACUGGGAUUGAGAUACGGCCCAGACUCCUACGGGAGGCAGCAGUCGAGAAUAGUCUACAAUGGUCGGAAGACUGAUAGUGCGACGCCGCGUGAACGAUGAAUCCCUUCGGGGUGUAAAGUUCUUUUAUAUGUGAGCAGUGCUUCUUAUAUUAACAGUAUGGGGAGAGAGAUAUUAGCAUAUGAAUAAGCAACGGCUAACUCCGUG